ensembl:lncRNA
GUGCGGGUCUGCUGUGUGCCAAAGCUCAACUGCUGCUGGGGCCUGGCCAUCUCCCAGGAAGGCAGCAUGGACCCUCACCACGGGUGCCCUGCCUCCAGGAGUGGACAGAGGCUGACCCCCCAAUGCCCCCAAACACUGACCCUCACAGCCCUCGACCUCCUGCUCCUGCAAUAGGCAGGUGAUGUGAAGGUGUCUCAUCAGCUGUCAAGCUACCAGUUCAGAACACACCACGUUGAGGAGAGAAAAUAUUAAUUUACCUGGACUUUUAAUGACUGCGGACUUCUCGGAGCACUGGAGCAGAAAGACUGACCAUCUGUGGGACAUCGCUGGACCCAGGCUCUGCUGUUCUCCACUCCCUGGGUGUGCGAGGAGCCUGCCUCUAACUGACCUCAUCUGGCCUAAGGAGAAGAAGCCAUAAGGACUCCAGGCUACAAAGCCCUCUCGGUCCCACUGCCAGUCUGGCCAGGGCGAACCCUGGAGCUCCACGCUGAGGGUGGGAGAGGCUGGGAGAGGCCGGGGCCAUGGAGCUUGGCCACACUUCCCAACAGCUGUGCCCUUCAAACAGGCAGCACAACAGUGAGUGCCCCAUGGGUAAGAGCGACUGAAAUGUUCAAAUUGAAACUUUUGAAAGAAUGAGCUAUUAUCCUGACAUUUGUGUUUUUCCUUUCUCACUUUUCAAGCCCUGCAUCGAAGCAUGCAACAAACGCAUCAGUCUUAAAGCUGUAAGUAAAAAUAAACAUGAUCUCCGAGUUUAUUAUGUAAACAUCCUCACGGCUGCAUCUUCUGCUUCCUGUCUGGGCUUUUACCGCCUUGGUAAUCACACCUACUUUAUUUAUACUGUGAUUCCUAAUUUACCUGUGAAGAAUUUUGAGCUCAGAAAAAUCACCAAAGUUUUCUUUCCAUCUGGGAUUAUACAGCAUGAAACAGAAGAAAUCUAUAAUAGUAAUAUCUAAACUGUGUCAUCAGGAAAGAAGAGUGGGUGUGACUUUUCCUUGCCUCUAAAGGAACGCUUACUAUUUUGAUCAUCCCGAAACUUUUCCACUGCAUCCCAGGAAUACACAGUCUUUUAACAGAAAAUGAGAGGGAUGGCAGCGAAAGAGAGAAAUCACAGCAGAGGAUGGACAGGAAGACUGUGUGGUGAGCCCAAACCCACAGGCAGGUCAUGAGUGACCUAAAAUAAAUUACUAUUCACAUCUGUACAUGGCACAUAGAAAGUGCUGCAGACCUCCUGCUAUGAAGUAGUGGAAUAUUGACGAUCAUGGGAUGGGGACAAGACCAAAGAAAGGAUGAGGGGAAAUAAAAGGCCUCUGUUCUUUCGCAAUGAAUUCAACACAGCUGUGAAGCUAAAAGAAAGCAGUAAUAAAAUAAGUCUCUUCAUAUUAUUUUUCCUUUUAAAACCUGUGCCAUAUCUGGGGAUUUUUUUUCUUUUUUCUCACACGCUAACUAAACUGCAGCUGGAAUGCUUAGCUUGACAGUAUGGCAGGAUGCUUAUAUACAAUGGAUAGUGUGUAGAAACCCCGUGUAAAUAGUUUAUUUUUUUUUUUAUCAGAAUCUUAGUCAUUCAUAACACACUAGUGCAAAAAAUUGUGCAUCAAAAAUUCUGCGAGAGAACAGCUGACUGGGAAGUUUGCAGAUGGCCCUGGGGCGGCCCCGAGGUGAGCUGCGGGGCCCUCGAAGCUUGCCGGUCUCGGGGAGGACGGCGCAAAGCGUCUGCAGGUGUGUGCGGCUGCCGGAAAGGUGUCUUCUUCAGGAGGGCUUUUUUUUUUUCUUCUUUUUCCAGAAUAUUCAUGGGGAUUAAAAAAAAAAACAAAACAAUGAACCCAUACUGCGGUGCUACCAUGUGUGGCCCAGAGGCC